AGUUGGAGCGGGAGCCUAGCUGCAGUGACGAACCGACGUGCGUAGGGCGGUGUUCUCGCGUAAAGAAAAGCGUGCGUGUGGCUGUGGUACAUCUGGAAUAGUGCUUCUAGUAUCUACAGCGGGAUCUGUGCACUAGCUGGGAUCGCUUCAACUCCUUCAACUCAUUGACACUCAUUUUUAAAGGGAAAUUUACCACAGCCGUUGCUUUCUAUCUAUCAGAAAAUGCUGCUCAUCCUGCUCGGAGUGCUCAUCUUGCACCUCAUCAUCCUGGUCUUACUGUUUGUCUCAACAAUUGCCAAUGCCUGGACUGUAGGAGGAACCAAGAGCACUGAUCUGUGGUACAGCUGUCUCACUACUGACGCAGGACAUCACUGCAGUUCUGCCAGCAACGAAGGUUUGUCCAAGACACU